GGGUUGGUAAAUUUCGUGCCAGCCACCGCGGUCAUACGAAUUAACCCAAAUUAACAGAAAAACGGCGUAAAGAGUGUUUAAGUCAACCAAUAAUAAAGCUAAGAUGUGACUAGACUGUAAUACGUUAUAGCUAACAUCAAAAUAAAUGACUAAAGUAGCUUUAAUUAAACUGAACACACGAAAGCUAAGACACAAACUGGGAUUAGAUACCCCACUAUGCUUAGCCCUAAACCCAAACAGCUACCAAACAAGACUGUUCGCCAGAGAACUACUAGCAAAUGCUUAAAACUCAAAGGACUUGGCGGUGCCCUAAACCCACCUAGAGGAGCCUGUUCUAUAAUCGAUAAACCCCGAUAAACCUUACCCCCUUUUGCCAAUACAGCCUGUAUACCGCCAUCGUCAGCCCACCUCAUCAGAGAACUAAAGUGGGCAAGAUUAUUAUUCAUAAAAACGUUAGGUCAAGGUGUAGCGUAUAAGAGGGAAAGCAAUGGGCUACAUUUUCUAUACUAGAAUACAACGAACUAUCUCUUGAAAGCUAAGACAUCCGAAGGAGGAUUUAGUAGUAAAUUAAGAAUAGAGAGCUUAAUUGAAUUAGGCAAUAGGGCGCGCACACACCGCCCGUCACCCUCCUCAACCAAAAUACAGCAUCCUAACUAAAAAUCCAAUAAAACAAAGAGGAGAAAAGUCGUAACAUGGUAAGUGUACUGGAAGGUGCACUUGGAAUA
rnacentral:rRNA from 1 species